rnacentral:piRNA from 1 species
UGAAGAAAGCCGAUGGAAUUCAGGGAGCCU